UACGGAGGGUGCAAGCGUUGUCCGGAUUUAUUGGGUUUAAAGGGUGCGUAGGCGUCCCUGCAAGUUUCUGGUGAAAUCCUCGAGCUCAACUCGAGAACUGCCGGGAAAACUGCCGGGAUUGAGUUUGGUUGAGGUAGGCGGAAUGGAUGGUGUAGCGGUGAAAUGCAUAGAUAUCAUCCAGAACACCGAUAGCGAAGGCAGCUUACUGAGCCGAAACUGACGCUGAGGCACGAAAGCAUGGGGAUCGAACAGG
rnacentral:misc_RNA from 1 species